rnacentral:rRNA from 1 species
UACGAAGGGGGGCUAGCGUUGCUCGGAAUCACUGGGCGUAAAGGGUGCGUAGGCGGGUCUUUAAGUCAGGGGUGAAAUCCUGGAGCUCAACUCCAGAACUGCCUUUGAUACUGAGGAUCUUGAGUUCGGGAGAGGUGAGUGGAACUGCGAGUGUAGAGGUGAAAUUCGUAGAUAUUCGCAAGAACACCAGUGGCGAAGGCGGCCCACUGGCCCGAUACUGACGCUGAGGCACGAAAGCGUGGGGAGCAAACAGGG